UACGUAGGCAGCGAGCGUUGUUCGGAGUUACUGGGCGUAAAGGGUGUGUAGGCGGUUGUUUUAAGUUUGGUGUGAAAUCUCCCGGCUCAACUGGGAGGGUGCGCCGAAUACUGAAUGACUUCGAGUACGGGAGAGGUGAGUGGAAUUCCUGGUGUAGCGGUGAAAUGCGUAGAUAUCGAGAGGAACACCAGUGGCGAAGGCGAGUCCCUGGACAAACACCUGACACUGAGGCACGAAAGCUAGGGGAGCAAACAGG
rnacentral:rRNA from 1 species